rfam:Medicago truncatula strain A17 chromosome 3, whole genome shotgun sequence.
UAGGGGUAAAAUAGUGAGUAGCCGACUUGGGGAAGUGAUCAACCCUUGGGAUAAGUUUAAAUCUGCUUUUUUAAACCCCAAAAACUUUUUACCUGGGUAAAAAGAAUCUUCUUGGGGUAAAAAAAAACCAGAUUUAAAUUUAGCCCAAGGGUUGAUGGUGUAUUUUCCCCAAGAACGUUGCUCACUAUUUUACCCCAA